rnacentral:rRNA from 1 species
UACGUAGGGGGCAAGCGUUGUCCGGAUUUAUUGGGCGUAAAGAGCGUGUAGGCGGCUUUACAGGUCCGUUGUGAAAACUCGAGGCUCAACCUCGAGACGCCGGUGGAAACCGUAAGGCUAGAGUCCGGAAGAGGAGAGUGGAAUUCCCGGUGUAGCGGUGAAAUGCGCAGAUAUCGGGAAGAACACCCGUGGCGAAAGCGGCUCUCUGGAACGGUACUGACGCUGAGACGCGAAAGCGUGGGGAGCGAACAGG